rnacentral:rRNA from 1 species
UUCGCAAUGCCCGAAAGGGCGACGAAGCGACGCCGCGUGUGGGAAGAAGGCCUUCGGGUUGUAAACCACUGUCGGGAGUUAAGAAAUGCAAGGAUAUUAAUAGUGUCUUUGUUUGACUAAGGCUCCGGAGGAAGCCACGGCUAACUCUGUGCCAGCAGCCGCGGUAAUACAGAGGCGGCAAGCGUUGUUCGGAAUUAUUGGGCGUAAAGAGCACGUAGGCGGCUAUGUAAGUCGGUUGUGAAAGCCUUCCGCUCAACGGAAGAACAGCAUCCGAUACUACAUGGCUUGAGUGCGGGAGGGGAGAGUGGAACUUCUGGUGGAGCGGUGAAAUGCGUAGAUAUCAGAAGGAACGCCGGCGGCGAAAGCGGCUCUCUGGCCCAUAACUGACGCUGAGUGUGCGAAAGCUAGGGGAGCAAACGGGAUUAGAUACCCCGGUAGUCCUAGCCGUAAACGAUGGGCACUAAGUAGAGGGGUUUU